CCUACGGGAGGCAGCAGUGAGGAAUAUUGGUCAAUGGACGAGAGUCUGAACCAGCCAAGUCGCGUGAAGGAUGACUGCCCUAUGGGUUGUAAACUUCUUUUAUCUGGGAAUAAAACGUUCCACGUGUGGGAUUUUGUAUGUACCAUAUGAAUAAGGAUCGGCUAACUCCGUGCCAGCAGCCGCGGUAAUACGGAGGAUCCGAGCGUUAUCCGGCUUUAUUGGGUUUAAAGGGAGCGUAGGUGGAUUGUUAAGUCAGUUGUGAAAGUUUGCGGCUCAACCGUAAAAUUGCAGUUGAAACUGGCAGUCUUGAGUACAGUAGAGGUGGGCGGAAUUCGUGGUGGAGCGGUGAAAUGCUUAGAUAUCACGAAGAACUCCGAUUGCGAAGGCAGUUCACUGGACUGCAACUGACACUGAGGCUCGAAAGUGUGGGUAUCAAACAGGAUUAGAUACCCCAGUAGUC
rnacentral:rRNA from 1 species